rnacentral:rRNA from 1 species
GAGUUUGAUCAUGGCUCAGGAUGAACGCUACCGGCAGGCUUAACACAUGCAAGUCGAACGGUAAGGCCCUGCUUGCAGGGUACACGAGUGGCGCACGGGUGCGUAACGCGUAUGCAACCUACCUUUUACUGAGGGAUAGCCCCGAGAAAUUGGGAUUAAUACCUCAUAAUAUCAUAAAACAGCAUUGUUUAAUGAUUAAAACUCCGGUGGUAAAAGAUGGGCAUGCGUGACAUUAGUUUGUUGGUGAGGUAACGGCUCACCAAGACUACGAUGUCUAGGGGUUCUGAGAGGAUUAUCCCCCACACUGGUACUGAGACACGGACCAGACUCCUACGGGAGGCAGCAGUGAGGAAUAUUGGGCAAUGGACGAAAGUCUGACCCAGCCAUGCUGCGUGCAGGAUGACGGCCCUAUGGGUUGUAAACUGCUUUUAUAUGGGAAGAAACCCAAGGACGUGUCCUUGGCUGACGGUACCAUACGAAUAAGGAUCGGCUAACUCCGUGCCAGCAGCCGCGGUAAUACGGAGGAUCCAAGCGUUAUCCGGAUUUAUUGGGUUUAAAGGGUGCGCAGGCGGCCUUAUAAGUCAGUGGUGAAAUCUCCCGGCUCAACCGGGAAACUGCCAUUGAUACUGUAAGGCUAGAAUACAGACGAGGUAGGCGGAAUGUAGCAUGUAGCGGUGAAAUGCUUAGAUAUGCUACAGAACACCGAUCGCGAAGGCAGCUUACCAGACUGUAAUUGACGCUAAGGCACGAAAGCGUGGGGAGCGAACAGGAUUAGAUACCCUGGUAGUCCACGCCGUAAACGAUGAUUACUCGAUGUUGGUGAUACACUAUCAGCGUCCAAGCGAAAGCGUUAAGUAAUCCACCUGGGGAGUACGAUCGCAAGGUUGAAACUCAAAGGAAUUGACGGGGGCCCGCACAAGCGGAGGAGCAUGUGGU